rnacentral:rRNA from 1 species
UACGUAGGGGGCAAGCGUUGUCCGGAUUUAUUGGGCGUAAAGAGCGCGCAGGCGGUCGGAUUAGUCGCGUGUGAAAGCCCCCGGCUCAACUGGGGAGGGUCACGCGAUACUGUUCGACUCGAAGGCAGGAGAGGGAAGUGGAAUUCCCGGUGUAGUGGUGAAAUGCGUAGAUAUCGGGAGGAACACCCGUGGCGAAGGCGACUUCCUGGCCUGUUCUUGACGCUGAGGCGCGAAAGCUAGGGUAGCAAACGGG